GAGCUGCAGAGCCCUCUCCUUUCCCUAACCCCCGCUCAUUGACUCCAUGGGCAGAAGAAAAAGCAAAUCAACGUUGUUUAUGAGGUAUUUUUAUAUAUUUCUCGAGUACUGCUCAUCCAAACAACUUGACACUCAACACUGCACUUCCUUGAGUCCCCAAUAAUACAUCCGCCAGGUAUGAAGUAGAUCAGAUUAACAGUUUUCAAGAUAUGCAAAGGACAAACAUACAUACAGAUAGACAGACAGAGAUUCCUUGCUUUAUAUAGAGUGAUUGGGUGGGUUUGAACCGGGAUUGUGCAGAAAAUUGUCAGUGCAGGUUUAUCCAUGAAUGAGGAUGGAGAGGAGGUGACACUGGGUGAGAAGAUGAUGACCUGCAAGAAUGACAUCAGCAAGGCUGAUACUGAAGCCAAGCAGGCCCAAAAUGACCCUGAAGCAUGCCCAGCAUGCUGAAGACCAAGCACACAGGGGUGAAAAAGAUGGACAGCGGCUAUAAGAAGGAUCAGAACUCCCUGCAGGCUGUGAGAAGCAGCAGGGAGCAACCACAGGCUGGGCUAGCCAAACUAUCAAGGCACCAUAUGGGAAGGAGGAGAGUCUGCUGGACCAAAGAAGCCAGCCAACCAUGAAGAAACUGCAAGAGGAACUAUCAUCAUACCUGGAGCACAAGAAACUGAUGCGUGAGAUCCAGCACUUGUCUCAGAUGAGGAGGUCAAGAGAGGUCACUAAUCUUAAAGAGACGUAUGAGCGUCUUCCGACACUCAUGGCUAUUUUCAUCUUAUAACAAAUGCAAACACCAACAGACAAUAAACAAGGUUGUAGCCUAUUUUGUAUCAUAAAAAAUAUAAAAAAUGACAAUAUAAUAAAUCUCAACAGUGCAAACACCGGCAUCUAAUGAAGCCAGAGCGCUCACACCAUCUCCAGAGGCAAGUAGGCUUAUUGCGAAACACUACACAAACAUGUGUAGACCCAUCUCUGAAAACAAAACUAUUUAUUUGAAAACGAAUAUCUAAAGCCUAAUUAGCAUGGCAGAAGAAUGUUUUAUCAAUAAAUGAUCGCAAUUUA